CCGGCUAAGCAAGAGAUCACUCUAUCACAGCCUGCCUGUCCUGACUCACAAAGUUUACAAUCAAUCAAUCUAGCUAGAAGGACUUAGAGGAGGACUUUCGGAGUCAGAAAGACAACAACAACUUAAGACAUGGUGGAGGAAGAAGGAGGAAAGGCGCGCGGUGGGGCUAUGCGUACAUGGAUCACAUAAUCUGGGACACCAGCACACAAAAGACCUUUUGGAUGGAGUAAGUAGAGCCCUCACCUCAACAGCAUCCUAUUCCUAUCCCAACAACCACUUUCUAUUGACUCUGUGGAUAAGUCUGAACAAGAAGUAAUAGCAUCAAGGCACUUGGGCUAUGUAAGGAACUCUUUUUUAUAGAAAAGAACAAUACUAUUUUCACUUGCA